rnacentral:rRNA from 1 species
CCUACGGGAGGCAGCAGUGGGGAAUUUUGGACAAUGGGCGCAAGCCUGAUCCAGCAAUGCCGCGUGAGUGAAGAAGGCCUUCGGGUUGUAAAGCUCUUUUGUCAGGGAAGAAAAGGUAGCCUCUAAUACAGGCUGCUCAUGACGGUACCUGAAGAAUAAGCACCGGCUAACUACGUGCCAGCAGCCGCGGUAAUACGUAGGGUGCAAGCGUUAAUCGGAAUUACUGGGCGUAAAGCGUGCGCAGGCGGUUAUAUAAGUCAGCUGUGAAAUCCCCGGGCUCAACCUGGGAACUGCAGUUGAGACUGUAUGGCUAGAGUGUGUCAGAGGGGGGUAGAAUUCCACGUGUAGCAGUGAAAUGCGUAGAUAUGUGGAGGAAUACCGAUGGCGAAGGCAGCCCCCUGGGAUAACACUGACGCUCAUGCACGAAAGCGUGGGGAGCAAACAGGAUUAGAUACCCUGGUAGUCCACGCCCUAAACGAUGUCUACUAGUUGUUGGGUCUUAAUUGACUUAGUAACGCAGCUAACGCGUGAAGUAGAACCGCCUGGGGAGUUACGGUCGCAAGNUUAAACUUCAAGGAUUGACGGCUUGAGAGNGCGAGNGACGACGAGGAGGAGG